rfam:Citrobacter koseri ATCC BAA-895, complete genome.
UGUAGGCAUGAAGGGUUCGUUGGCACAAUGCCGAACGCACGCAGUCGUCUUUAUGGAAACGGACAAUACCUAUCAUCUCAUCUUCUUCAAAGCGAGCUAACGCAUCACUUAACCCUGAUUGAACAUGAGCCGGUAAAUCGCACUGGGUAAUGUCGCCAUUUACGAUAACCGUCACGUUCUCCCCGAGGCGCGUU